rnacentral:rRNA from 1 species
AGUGAACGCUGGCGGUGGGCCUAACACAUGCAAGUCGAACGGCAGCACAGUAAGAGCUUGCUCUUACGGGUGGCGAGUGGCGGACGGGUGAGGAAUACAUCGGAAUCUACUUUUACGUGGGGGAUAACGUAGGGACACAUACGCUACUACCGCAUACGACCUACGGGUGGAAUCAGGGGAUCAUCGGGCCUUUGCCGUUUGAAUGAGCCGGUGUCGGAUUAGCUAGUUGGCGGGGUAACGUCUCAGCCAGCCCACGAUGCGUAGCUGACCUGAGCGGGUGAACCGCCACAGUGAGACUGAGACACGGUCACGACUCCAACGGGCGGCAGCAGUAGGGAAUCUUACGCAGUGGGCGAAAGCCUGACGGAGCAACGCCGCGUGAUUGAUGAAGAUCUUCGGAUCGUACAACUCUGUUAUUAGGGAAGAACAAAUGUGUAAGUAACGAUGCACGUCUUGACGGUACCUAAUCAGAAGGCAACGGCUAGCAACGUG